GACAUGCUGUUUUCCACGUCUCAGCAUUCACUGUUCCAACAUUUUAACUAUAAACUUAAACAGAGUAAUGAUAAAUUAAUAGUAACAAUAACACUUUUAUUAUUAAUAACAUAACAACAUUUAUUAUUAGUCAACUGUAUACAGAUACUUUCUAGUAUCCCACAACCACUCUAGGAUAGAGUUAUCCCCCUUUGCAGAGAUUCAUAAAUGGAUGGGUACGGGGGUGUGGUUAGUAUAGCUAAAGUCAUAAAUAGCAUAUGGAAACCAAUCCCACUGGAUAUCUACAACUACUCUACUCCAGGAGGUCUCACCGUUUCUCAGUCAGGAUCUCUGUGUGUGGCCAUUUUGUAAGGCCCAGUUAAGAGUCCUCUUCCUCCAUCUCCCAUUUACUCAUUCAGUGGCUCCCAGCCUCCUCUGAUCGGUCCUCCACCGUGAGGGUGCAUUUCCCGGCUAGAUUGUAAACCACUUAAUGCAAAGUUGUUCCUUCAGGGGACAGGUGGAAAUAUGGGGCAAUCUUUGUUAUUAUUACAAUAUAUGACUGUAAUGUAUAUUGUAAUGAGGUAACACUGGCAUGUAGUGCCUGGAGGCCUGGAAUAUUAAUUAAAUCUUGCAGCGCGCAUACGAUUGUCCUUUUCCGUGGGAACUUCUUUUACCCUAAAAGAUAAUAUUGCCUUCCUCCAGACAUACCACUUCAGAGGGACCCAGAGCCAUCAUCUUCCUUUCGGUAACUUGGUGUCUUUGUAAAGUCUGCGUCCUACUCAUAAAAAAUGGUUGGUUGGCUGUUUUGGCAUUCUCUGUCUCCUUACAAAGUUUUCAUUUCUGUGUUAAAGACAGAACUUUUAGACAGCAAACAGGGAAAAUACACCGGAUUGAAAGCCCUGCUGUCAUGAAAAAUAAGAAAUGUCUAAGGCAGAAGUCAAGCUACUACUCCACCUGCUUUUUUGGGUGGUGGUGUUAUGUUAGUAUUUCCAGCAACCACUUCUCUAGGAGGAUUCUACUGGCUGGUUUUGUGUGUCAACUUGACACAGGCUGGAGUUAUCACAGAGAAAGGAACUUCAGUUGAGGAAAUGCCUCCAUGAGAUCCAGUUGUGGGCAUUUUCUCAGUUAGUGAUCAAGGAUGAAAGGGCCCAUUGUGGGUGGUGCCAUCCCUGGGCUGGUAGUCUUGGUUCUAUAAGAAAGCAAGCUGGGCAAGCCAGGGAAAGCAAUCCAGUAAGAAACAUCCCUACAUGGCCUCUGUAUCAGCUCCUGCUUCCUGACCUGCUUGAGUUCCAGUCCUGCAUCCUUUGGUGAUGAACAGCAGUAUGGAAGUGUAAGCUGAACAAAUCCUUUCUUCUCUAACUUGCUUCUUGGUCACGAUGCUUGUUCAGGAAUAGAAACCCUGACUAAGACAAAGAUGCUCUUACAUCUUGAGUCUAAAAAAUUAAUCAUUCAAUCAUUCACCCUCCAAAAGAAGAUGAAAAACUGACCAGAGGUCACCCAAACCCUGCCAUGUUAACAAAGCUUCCUAAAAGCUACAGAGCAUGUUUCUAUCACAAGUACCUACUUAGAGGUGGGAGGCCAUUGGCUGUGAUGUGCUGCCUGUCCUGUGGAUUGUAAGGUUCUGGUCUGUUAUGCAGGCAAUUGUUACCGUAGGGCCCUGAUGGCUGGCUGACUGUCACUUCCCUGUCUGUAUCCCUACAUCUUUUGGUCUCCACCAGUUGGACUGGUUCACCCACCAUCACUGGAGGAGAUUCAGGAGGCGGUAUGCAUAUUCCCGGAACCUUUUGGCAUCUUCUGCACAUCCGAUAGCAAAUGUCUUUCCAAAGCAUGGAACAGCUUCAGUAACAUCAAGACAGAGUCAAGGCUUUGAUGGAUCUGUGCUGUUUGCAUGAGCCUUUGACAUUUAGAUUUGGGGGAUGUGCAGAGGCCAUGAUGGCUUUUGGCUUCCAGUCUUACCAUAGUCUAGAUGCUUGCCCCCCCACCUCUCCCUCUACCCCGCCCCCACUUCACAAUAUCACUGUGAUAUUUCCAUACAUUAUGACAUCAAGCUUUGUUCACAAUCAUCCCUCCAUAGUCCUCUCCCUUCUGCUGCUCCCAAUUCUCCCUUCUUCAAGCAGACCCCGGGAUGAGGUCAUUCCUGAUAUUCUGUGGGCAAUACGUGUAGAGUUUUCUCUUGGUCCCACAAGGCUUGAUAAGAAAUCAGCUGGUGCUGGAGGCUACUUGGGACAGCGAGAGACACAGACUUGGGAUGAACUGACUCUGUAAGAGGGACAGAAGAUAGACAGGGAGAAAUCAGGUGUUUUGUGAUACAGUGGGACCACUGUACACCAAGCCACACUCAGUUCCUCUCGAUCUCCAGGCUUUUCAGUUCUACGAGCUAAGGAAUACACUUUGUUAUUCAAUCAAGGCAAAUGAGUCCUCUGUAACUUAUAACACAGAGCAUCAUCAGUAAUGUCUCCCCUCCCCCCUGCCCUAACCACCUGACCUAGGAGUUCGGCUGUUUAGCAUUAAGAGGUUCUAUAAGAGCUGAACCAAUACGACCCAAACUGGUUAUCACAAAUGUCAAUGACAGACACUUGUGUGUGCUGAAAUUUUGAUGCUAAGUACAACCUUUUCCCAAGAAUGUAGAACCGACUUGGUAAGAUCAGAGCUGCCCUUGUAGACCUCUAUCCACCACUCCCCCAGGCUCUUUUUUCUUUUUCUUUUAUCUUUAUGGUUACAUUGGUCCACACUGCUAGUACAAUUUUAAUUGAAGGUGCUCUGGGGGCAGUCGACUUUCCAAGGCUUGCCUCAAAAAACUCCAGCUCUAACAAGAACUUCCCCAUUUGUUCCGGGGACCCUCAGUGAAGCCCCAGUGGCCGCAGGAUCUGAUGCUCCCUUCACUCCGGGAAAUGCUUACAGCUAAGACAUUAAGUAAAUCUCACCAGAACCGGCAUGUACCCUUGUCAGACGCUGACGCUUAUAAGGCUGCACCGAGCAGCCUUUGCUAUCCCCACAAAAUGGCUGAGAAAAGCGUGGUCCAAAGACUGUGCUGGAGAGCAUUUAAACGCAGUUGGGAAAGGUGCACGAGGAAUCGAACUUUGUCAACAGCCCUUGAAGUGGGAGAGUACAGUCGUUAACCGGAGCCAAUCGUUUCUGUCCAGAGGUCUUAAAAGGUCAUGGGGUCAUUUCCCGCAGCAGGUCCCUGCAGACCAACCACACAACAAUGCUCAAAGUAAAAGUGUGAAUAAAUGUAACAGCUUCAGCAACA
rnacentral:lncRNA from 1 species